rnacentral:ncRNA from 1 species
AGCUUGACUCUAGUCUGACUCUGUGAAGAGUCAUGAAAGGUGUAGCAUAGAUGGGAGAUUGUCAAAUUGCCAUCGUUCGCGCGGUGGUCCGGUGAUCGCCAAUGAAAUACCACUACUUUGAUCGUUUCUUUACUUAUUCGGUAAAGCGAAAAAAUUGUGGCCAAUUUGGCGGUGUUUAUGUCGCUGUUGGUCAUUGUUUUCAUGUUAGAUUGAAGCUUUGUUUACAGCCGUCGCUUUGUGUCGC